rnacentral:rRNA from 1 species
AAUGAACGCUGGCGGCAGGCCUAACACAUGCAAGUCGAGCGGAAGAAGCGAGCUUGCUCCUGGAUUCAGCGGUGGACGGGUGAAAAAUGCCUAGGAAUCUGGCAGGUAGUGGGGGAUAACGUCCGGAAACGGGAGCUAAUAUCGCAUACGUCCUGUGGGAGAAAGUGGGGGGGCUUCGGAUCGCAUGGCUACAGAGGAGGCUAGAUCGGAUUAGCUAGUUGGUGGGGUAAUGGGCUACCAAGGCGGCGAUCCGUAACUGGUCUGAGGGGAAGACCCGAAACACGGGCACAGAGAAUGAGUCCAGACACCGACAGGAGGACGCAGUGGGGAAUAUUAGGGAAUGGGCGAGUGGCUGAUCCUGGCAUGCCGCGUAAGUGAUGAAGGUCUUCGGAUUGUAAAGUACUGUAGGUUUGGGGGAAGUGAAGUAAGUUUAUCCCGGGCUGUAUUGACGUUACCGGCAGAAUAAGCACCGGCUAACUUCGUG